rnacentral:lncRNA from 1 species
CAGCAACCGAGUGCCGGCAAAAGAAAUCUGCAUUCAUAAUCCUUCUGGCCGAUCCUUCCACAUUGGUAGCAGAACAACUCAUACACAAAAAAGCCUACCUGAACGCCUAAUCCACGCCUAAUCCUAUACCCUAAUUAGAAUCCUGGUUUAAGAGGUUCCAAGGCAGUGAUCUCCAUUUUAACCCUCACAUAACCAACCUUCUCUAACCGAUCUAAGAACCCACCCGCAGCAAGGGGUAAGCUGGUCACCGCAACGAUGCUCAAGAUGGAGCCAAUUUCCCAGAACUCCAACGGCAACCUCGGCAGUCUUUACCAAUAUUGUCUAAUCAGGGAACCCACGACUCCAUUACCAUUAACUGCCCGAUGAUCAGACAGCAUUCUAAUCAUCCUCAGAUUUGAAUCAGAAAACAAUGGGGUCUUCAGCAGAAGCCAAUCUGCAGAAACCCUCCACCAAGUCUUCGACAAAUAACUGCGAACAUCUCCCAUGCACGCCUCAACGCCUCUGUCAAAUAUCGCUCGAGAUUUACAAUCACCUCAGCGGAUAUCCUGUGGUUUGUCCAACUAGACUGCCGCGGACUGCCCUACGCCACCUUGGCCUAUGAGCGGUUCCCUUCUACAGACCUCGUGUGCACCCGCCCCUACCACCAGAAGAUCCCUCUAUAGAUUUGCCGCGUUGAUCUCCCAUUCCUGCACGCCUACCAUUUGUUCGAAGAAAGUUCGGAAAGUAGCAUGGAUUUUGAUGCAGAUGCGCACAGGAGAGUGAACCCUCUUAAUUUUUUAAAGCUUGUUCAAAAUUCUUCGAAUGGCAAGCCCACCUCAUCAACUACUCCAGUCCUUGGCAUCAUGCCCCUAUAAGAAUUUCUGUGAAACAUACCAAGCUAGCAUCGAGGCCACUCAACAUAACAGACAGUGGAAAUCUACAG